UGGGGAAUAUUGCACAAUGGGCGCAAGCCUGAUGCAGCCAUGCCGCGUGUGUGAAGAAGGCCUUCGGGUUGUAAAGCACUUUCAGCGAGGAGGAAGGUGGUGAGCUUAAUACGCUCAUCAAUUGACGUUACUCGCAGAAGAAGCACCGGCUAACUCCGUGCCAGCAGCCGCGGUAAUACGGAGGGUGCAAGCGUUAAUCGGAAUUACUGGGCGUAAAGCGCACGCAGGCGGUUUGUUAAGUCAGAUGUGAAAUCCCCGGGCUCAACCUGGGAACUGCAUUUGAAACUGGCAAGCUAGAGUCUCGUAGAGGGGGGUAGAAUUCCAGGUGUAGCGGUGAAAUGCGUAGAGAUCUGGAGGAAUACCGGUGGCGAAGGCGGCCCCCUGGACGAAGACUGACGCUCAGGUGCGAAAGCGUGGGGCAGCAAACAGGAUUAGAUACCCCUGGUAGUCCAGCGCUGUAAAACGAUGUCGAUUUUGGAGGUUGUGCCCUUGAGGCGUGGCUUCCGGAGCUAACGCGUUAAAUCGACCGCCUGGGGAGUACGGCCGCAAGGUUAAAACUCAAAUGAAUUGACGGGGUC
rnacentral:rRNA from 1 species